rnacentral:rRNA from 1 species
GACGGAGGGGGCUAGCGUUGUUCGGAAUGACUGGGCGUAAAGGGCGCGUAGGCGGCUUAUCAAGUCAGGUGUGAAAGCCUUGGGCUUAACCCAAGAACUGCGCUUGAUACUGAUAAGCUAGAGGAUGAUAGAGGAAAGCGGAAUUCCUAGUGUAGAGGUGAAAUUCGUAGAUAUUAGGAAGAACACCAGAGGCGAAGGCGGCUUUCUGGAUCAUAUCUGACGCUGAGGCGCGAAAGCGUGGGGAGCAAACAGG